AACGAACGCUGGCGGCAGGCCUAACACAUGCAAGUCGAGCGAGGACUUCGGUCCUAGCGGCGGACGGGUGAGUAACGCGUGGGAACGUGCCCUUUGCUUCGGAAUAGCCCUGGGAAACUGGGAGUAAUAACGGAUGAGCCCUUUGGGGGAAAGAUCUAUCGGCGAAGGAUCGGCCCGCGUUGGAUUAGGUAGUUGGUGGGGUAAUGGCCUACCAAGCCGACGAUCCAUAGCUGGUUUGAGAGGAUGACCAGCCACACUGGGACUGAGACACGGCCCAGACUCCUACGGGAGGCAGCAGUAGGGAAUCUUAGACAAUGGGGGAAACCCUGAUCUAGCCGUGCCGGGUGAGCGAUGAAGGCCUUAGGGUUGUAAAGCUCUUUCAGCUGGGAAGAUAAUGACGGUACCAGCAGAAGAAGCCCCGGCUAACUCCGUG
rnacentral:rRNA from 1 species